rnacentral:rRNA from 1 species
GGCGAACGCUGGCGGCGUGCCUAAUACAUGCAAGUCGAACGAGAGCAACCGGUGCUUGCACUGGUCAAUCUAGUGGCGAACGGGUGAGUAACACGUGGGUAACCUGCCCAUCAGAGGGGGAUAACAUCCGGAAACGGAUGCUAAAACCGCAUAGGCCUUCGAACCGCAUGGUUUGAAGAGGAAAAGAGGCGCAAGCUUCUGCUGAUGUAUGGACCCGCGGUGCAUUAGCUAGUUGGUGAGGUAACGGCUCACCAAGGCCGUGAUGCAUAGCCGACCUGAGAGGGUGAUCGGCCACAUUGGGACUGAGACACGGCCCAAACUCCUACGGGAGGCAGCAGUAGGGAAUCCUCCGCAAUGGACGCAAGUCUGACGGAGCAACGCCGCGUGAGUGAAGAAGGUUUUCGGAUCGUAAAACUCUGUUGUUAGAGAAGAACAAGUGCUAGAGUAACUGUUAGCGCCUUGACGGUAUCUAACCAGAAAGCCACGGCUAACUACGUG